GCCUGCCCGCCGGUCGCCGCACGACGAGGGAAACCCCAGCGCUCCCACGGCAGCAGAGGCCCUCGCCGCUCGAGAGGGCCAAGGCCGACGCUUCCGAGCGCGCGGGCAGCGGAGGCGCUCGCCGCUCGAGGACGCCGAGGCCGACGCUUCCGACGGCGCGCACCGCUGGAUUGACGCUUCGCGCCUCGGCCCGCACAAGGUGGAUUUGCCAGGGGCAGGAAUGGCUGGUAAAAAAGAGACAAUACCCUUCGAGUUUGCAAAGCUUGAGAUCAAAAGAGGACAAUACGGUUCUUUUUUGGUAUUUUAUCAGAUGAACAAGCCCUCUAACCUUCCAAAAUCAGUCCAGCCGGCAAAAACAAAUUGGCCGAGGGUUUGUUUGGAUCUGGAGCUUCCACAUGAUUUGUCUCAACUUUCUGCUACGAAUGACUUGAAUCAUCCAAACAUCAUGCAUAUUGAAGCACUCAAAGAAGUUGAUGACAAACGAAUAGCAGCUUUUCUUGAAUGCCAUGAUGGUCCUCUUGUAAGACAUCUGCUCAAUAUAGACAUGGUUGACUGUGAUGGUGCUGAGUCAUGAGGCAAAUCGUUGAAUCCGUUGAAGAACUCAGAAAAAAUGGUUUCUGUCAUGGGAACUUGUGUCUGAAGAAUAUCUAUUACUUCAAUGGAAAGCAUGGAAUUGUCGUUAAACUUGUCAACCUUCAGAACCAAGGAUUGGAUCGCGGUGGGAUCCUUGCUUGAUGGUAUUUCAACUUCGGUGAAGAAAUGGCAUCCUCGAUACUCUUUCUUAGCCAUUGAUGAUGCAGCAAGGAAAUUAAUGGAAUUGACAAAUCCGUGAUGCAUUGCUGCAAGACAUAAAGAAGGAGACGGUCAGGCGUCCCUUCUUUUGGGAACCACAAAAGCGAGUAAACUUUUGGGUUCAUGAUAUUCCUAAAGCUUUAGGAAUUAAUUCUUUUGUGGCAAAAAUUUACAAUUAUCCUAAUUGGAGACUUCCUUGGAGUACGCGCAUUAAUCCACAACUUCUGAAAGCAAUGAACAAUUAUCGUAAAGAAAAGGCAGAAAAGGAGCGGGAAUCAUUGGAGAAUCAAAAUGAGCAACCGGAGGAAAAGGAUACUGAUUACAAUGUGAACGAUCCGCAGCAAUAUGUAAAAUGCAUAAGCGGUGCCUACAGUCAUGCCGAAGAGUUGCAUGGAAAGGUUUUAGCCGCAAAUGGCAAUCCUAUUCCGAUUGAUAGUGCAGUUCAAAGGUCUGAUCCAGAAUUAUGCAUUGUUCUAUAUAGUCUUCUUACAGACUAAGCUGAGCAUGGACAACCAGAUGUCAAAUGAGAGUAGACGAGGUCAGAGCAGGACAAGAGAUGAGAUGAAAGUUCGGAGCUUUUUGUGCGAGACAACAUGAUAAGCUAAGGACAGCUCGGCAGCCCUUGCGCUUCUCUUGGCAGGACAAACCUGUUUGUUUCGGUCUCGUGAUUCCAAAAUUUUGUAUGGUCAGUUGUUAUGUUUGAAGUUAGUUGCUGAUGCGGCACUCUUGGUGUCCCAUAAACCUAUUACAUUUUACUGAUGCUGCAUUCUGGAUGCUUGCUCUUGUGCUGGUCAGUUAGUUGUUAUGCUGCCUUUUCAUGGGGAUCGUUGGUGUCCCAUAAA